rnacentral:rRNA from 1 species
UAAAAAAAUAAGACCCCAUUAGAUAAAUCUGUAAUUCGUCUGAUCUCGCAAGCUAAGCAGGGUUGGGCCUGGUUAGUACUUGGAUGGGAGACCACCUAGGAAGACCAGGUGCUGUAGGUG